rnacentral:rRNA from 1 species
UAGGGAAUCUUCCGCAAUGGACGCAAGUCUGACGGAGCAACGCCGCGUGAGUGAAGAAGGAUUUCGGUUCGUAAAACUCUUUUGUUAGAGAAGAACAGCGCAUAGAGUAACUGUUAUGCGUGUGACGGUAUCUAACCAGAAAGCCACGGCUAACUACGUGCCAGCAGCCGCGGUAAUACGUAGGUGGCAAGCGUUGUCCGGAUUUAUUGGGCGUAAAGCGAGCGCAGGCGGUCAAUUAAGUCUGAUGUGAAAGCCCCCGGCUCAACCGGGGAGGGUCAUUGGAAACUGGUUGACUUGAGUGCAGAAGAGGAGAGUGGAAUUCCAUGUGUAGCGGUGAAAUGCGUAGAUAUAUGGAGGAACACCAGUGGCGAAGGCGACUCUCUGGUCUGUAACUGACGCUGAGGCUCGAAAGCGUGGGUAGCAAACAGG